GACGAACGCUGGCGGCGUGCUUAACACAUGCAAGUCGAACGGUGAAGCGCCUUCCUUUUUGGUGGGUGUGGAUGAGUGGCGAACGGGUGAGUAACACGUUAGUAACCUGCCCCCUUCUUCUGGAUAACCGCAUGAAAGUGUGGCUAAUACGGGAUAUUCUGGGUCUGUCGCAUGAUGGGUCUGGGAAAGAUAUUGUUUCGGUGGGGGAUGGGCUCGCGGCCUAUCAGCUUGUUGGUGGGGUGAUGGCCUACCAAGGCGGUGACGGGUAGCCGGCCUGAGAGGGUGGACGGUCACACUGGGACUGAGACACGGCCCAGACUCCUACGGGAGGCAGCAGUGGGGAAUAUUGCACAAUGGGCGCAAGCCUGAUGCAGCGACGCCGCGUGAGGGAUGGAGGCCUUCGGGUUGUGAACCUCUUUCACCAGUGAAGCAGGCCUGCCUCGUUUGUGGGUGGGUUGACGGUAGCUGGAGAAGAAGCGCCGGCUAACUACGUG
rnacentral:rRNA from 1 species